GAUGGGUUGGCUGAGUGGUUUAAGCGACGGACUGAUAAUCCGUGUCCUUUAGGACAACAUAGGUUCGAAUCCUAUACCCAUCGCCA
rnacentral:tRNA from 1 species